UACGUAGGAGCAAGCGUUGUCCGGAAUCAUUGGGCGUAAAGCGCGCGUAGGUGGCUUCGUAAGUCCGCUGUGAAAGUCAAAGGCUCAACCUUUGAAAGCCGGUGGAUACUGUGAAGCUAGAGUACGGAAGAGGCGAGUGGAAUUCCUGGUGUAGCGGUGGAAUGCGCAGAUAUCAGGAGGAACACCAAUAGCGAAGGCAGCUCGCUGGGACGUUACUGACACUGAGGCGCGAAAGCGUGGGGAGCGAACAGG
rnacentral:rRNA from 1 species